rfam:Klebsormidium nitens chloroplast DNA, contig: KFL_3730.
AGCGGAGUAGAGCAACUAGGUAGCUCGCAAGGCUCAUAACCUUGAGGUUACAGGUUCAAAUCCUGUCUCCGCCA